rnacentral:rRNA from 1 species
UCGGGAAUUUUGGGCAAUGGGCGCAAGCCUGAUCCAGCCAUACCGCGUGAGUGAAGAAGGCCUUCGGGUUGUAAAGCUCUUUCAGACGGAAAGAAACGGUUACGGCUAAUACCCGUGACUAAUGACGGUACCGUAAGAAGAAGCACCGGCUAACUACGUGCCAGCAGCCGCGGUAAUACGUAGGGUGCGAGCGUUAAUCGGAAUUACUGGGCGUAAAGCGUGCGCAGGCGGUUAUGCAAGACAGAUGUGAAAUCCCCGGGCUCAACCUGGGAACUGCAUUUGUGACUGUAUAGCUAGAGUACGGUAGAGGGGGAUGGAAUUCCGCGUGUAGCAGUGAAAUGCGUAGAUAUGCGGAGGAACACCGAUGGCGAAGGCAAUCCCCUGGACCUGUACUGACGCUCAUGCACGAAAGCGUGGGGAGCAAACAGGAUUAGAUACCCAGGUAGUCCCUGAGCGGGCUGGCAAGGCGCAU